rnacentral:rRNA from 1 species
GUUGAAAAGAACUUUGAAGAGAGAGUUCAAGAGUACGUGAAACCGUUCAGGGGUAAACGGGUGGAGCCCUAAAGGUCGAACGAGGAGAUUCAGUGUUCCGUCCACUGGCCGCCCGCUGCCGUUGGGUAAACUUCUGCUCCCUGCCUUGUGUAGGUUCUCGCGGAGGGCCCUCGGUGGUGGUCUGCGCGUUCGGUGGGGUUGCGCACUUCUCCUCUAGUAGCACGCCGCGACCCGUUAGGUGUCUGUCGAAAGCCCGGGGGCGAGCCCGAGGCACUUCGGUGCUUCGGAGUCCUGGUGUCUAGGCAGACAGCCUGACGGUCUUACAAGAGGAAAAGGCCCGCGUGCUUUGCUCGCGCUCGUGCCUCGUGCGAACGUCCGGUCGCGUGUCGUUGUGCGGACUUGUCCGCCGCGGCCCGUCUGGCGUUGUCGGCGCGGGGUUUCUCGAGCAGUGGCCUGCUCCCGUCUGCGGCGGUAACACAGGGCGGCCCACCCGGCCCGUCUUGAAACACGGACCAAGGAGUCUAACAUGUGCGCGAGUCAUUGGGUCCCACUACACCCAAAGGCGUAUUGAACGAAAAGGCCGUCCUUCGCGUCGGCUGAGGGAAGAUGGAGGCUCGCUCGCGGGCCUCCCGCAUUCCCGGGGCGUCUCGUCCUACCGUCGCUCGUCGGCGGAAGGUGAGGCGCACCAUGAGCGCACACGUUGGUACCCGAAAGAUGGUGAACUAUGCCUGGCCAGGACGAAGCCAGGGGAAACCCUGGUGGAGGUCCGUAGCGAUUCUGACGUGCAAAUCGAUCGUCAGAGCUGGGUAUAGGGGCGAAAGACUAAUCGAACCAUCUAGUAGCUGGUUCCCUCCGAAGUUUCCCUCAGGAUAGCUGGCGUUCGGAGAUUCGAGUCCCAUGCGGUAAAGCGAAUGAUUAGAGGCCAUGGGGUCGAAACGACCUCAACCUAUCCUCAAACUCUAAAUGUGUGGGAACCGCGGCUUGCUU